ensembl:lncRNA
GUAUGGUAUGUUGUUAUAAGGGGCAUAUGUAGCCCUAUGAACAUUAUACGGAAUAAUGCGUUAGCUUUAAUGUUUUAGGGGUUGUGAAAAUACUGAUUUGGCUUUGGAUACCUUUUGAAAUGGGGUUGGUGGAUGGAUAGAUAGCUGGAUAGAUGGAUAGAUAGAUGGAUGGAUAGAUGGAUAGGUAGGUAGAUGGAUGGAUAGAUAGAUAGGUAGGUAGGUAGGUAGGUAGGUAGGUAGAUGGAUGGCUGGAUAGAUAGAUGGAUAGAUAGAUGGAUGGAUGGAAGGAUAGAUGGAUGGAUAGAUAGAUGGAUGGAUAGAUAGGUAGAUGGAUGGUUGGAUAGAUAGCUGGAUAUAUGGAUGGAUGGAUGGAUGGAUGGAUAGAUAGAUAUCUAGGUAGAUGGAUGGCUGGAUAGAUAGAUGGAUAGAUGGAUGAUAGAUAGAUAGAUAGAUAGAUGGAUGACUGGAUAGAUAGCUGGAUAGAUGGAUAGAUAGAUGGAUGGAUAGAUAGAUAGGUAGAUGGAUGGCUGGAUAGAUAGCUGGAUGGCUGGAUAGAUAGAUGGAUAGAUAUAGAUAUAUGGAUAGAUAGAUGGCUGGAUACGUAGAUAGGUAGAUGGAUGGAUAGAUAGAUGGAUGGAUAGAUAGGGUAGAUGGAUGGUUGGAUAGAUAGCUGGAUAUAUGGAUGGAUGGAUGGAUGGAUGGAUGGAUAGAUAGAUAUCUAGGUAGAUGGAUGGCUGGAUAGAUAGAUGGAUGGAUGGAUGGAUAGAUGGAUGAUAGAUAGAUAGAUAGAUAGAUAGAUAGAUAGAUAGAUAGAUAGAUAGAUGGAUGACUGGAUAGAUAGCUGGAUAGAUGGAUAGAUGGAUGGAUGGAUAGAUAGAUAGAUAGAUAGAUAGGUAGGUAGAUGGAUGGCUGGAUAGAUAGAUGGAUGGAUGGAUAGGUAGAUCGAUAGAUAGAUAGAUAGCUGGAUAGAUGGAUAGAUAUAUGGAUAGAUGGAUGGAUAGAUAGAUAGGUAGAUGGAUGGCUGGAUAGAUAGCUGGAUAGAUGGAUGGAUAGAUCGAUAGAUAGAUGGAUGACUGGAUAGAUAGCUGGAUAGAUGGAUAGAUAGAUAGAUAGAUGGAUAGAUGGAUGGAUGGCUGGAUAGAUAGAUGGAUAGAUAUAGAUAUAUGGAUAGAUAGAUGGCUGGAUACAUGGAUAGGUAGAUAGGUAGAUGGAUGGCUGGAUAGAUAGCUGGAUAUAUGGAUGGAUGGAUGAUGGAUAGAUAGAUAGGUAGAUGGAUGGCUGGAUAGAUAGCUGGAUGACUGGAUAGAUAGCUGGAUAGAUGGAUAGAUAGAUGGAUGGAUGGCUGGAUAGAUAGCUGGAUAGAUGGAUGGAUAGAUAUAGAUAUAUGGAUAGAUAGAUGGAUGGAUACAUGGAUAGGUAGAUAGGUAGAUGGAUAGCUGGAUAGAUAGCUGGAUAUAUGGAUGGAUGGAUG